ensembl:lncRNA
CUCCAGGUGUAAGUACUUCACCUACUCUCCAGGUGUAAGUACUUCACCUACUCUCCAGGUGUAAGUACUUCACCUACUCUCCAGGUGUAAGUACUUCACCUACUCUCCAGGUGAAGUGAAUGGGCUUCUCAUUUGGUGGCUUCUCUAGUUGUGGAGCACAGGCUUUUGAGCACACGGGCUUCAGUACUUACAGCACACGGGCUCUGUAUUUGCGGUUCCCUGGCUCUACGAGUACAGGCUCAACAGUUGUGGUGCACGGGCUUCGUUACUCCGUGGCAUGUGGGAUCUUGCAAGAUCAGGGAUCGAACCCGCGUCUCCUGCACUGGCAGGUGGAUUCUUUACCACUGAGCCACCAGGGAAGCCCUCAAUCACAUUACAUUUCUUGUGCACUUUAUUAUUAUGACAUCAGCUUCACCUCAGAUCAUCAGGCAUUAGAUCCCAGAAAGUGGGACUCCUGCUACAGGAUUAAAGGCACAGUCAGCCCUCAGUAUUUGUGGGAGAACUGCUUUCAAGCCCCUCUGCCGAUAUCAAAAUCCAUGGAGGCUGGAGUCCCAUCAUUGGCCUCUGUAUUCUCGGACGCAGAACUGGUCAAUACGAGGACCAAUUGUACUCAGCUUUGACUUAGUGGAAUGCCUGCAGUUGCAUCAUGUGACUUGUGGGAUCUUAGUUCCCCAUCCAAGGAUCAAGUCCAAGCCCGUUGCCGUGGAAGGGGAGUCUUAACCAUUGGCCUGCCAGGGAAGUCCUUCCAAAUUUAGAAGAAUAAAUAUAAGACACAAACAGAUAAUUCAUGACAGAUGUAAUAUUGAUUCAAAUGACUAAAAAUAUUUUAAACUUUACAGUUCUAUCAGUAUUGUUAAUCAAAGAUCAUAUUAUUAAUACUUAAGUAAACAACAUUCAGUGCUGGUGAGAAUGUAGAGAUAAUACAGAUUUGGCCAAAAUGUCUGUAAAACAAUCUGACCUUAUAUAGCAAGAGACUUAAAACACUCAGGCUCUUUGAACCAAUAACUCUAUUUUCCAGAAUAGCUUCUAAGGAAAUAAUCAGAAAUGUGAACACAGUUUUAUGCACAAAACAUAUCCAUCAUAGCAUAAUUUAUAAUUGAAAACAAUCUAAAUAUUCAGUAAGAGUGAAAG